UCUUAUGGAUGAGCAAAGAAAGUAGUUUCUUAAAACAGAAUCUACUCCUGAUAUAAAUGCUCUGAA
rnacentral:pre_miRNA from 1 species